rnacentral:rRNA from 1 species
CCUACGGGAGGCAGCAGUGGGGGAUAUUGCACAAUGGGGGAAACCCUGAUGCAGCGACGCCGCGUGAGCGAUGAAGUAUUUCGGUAUGUAAAGCUCUAUCAGCAGGGAAGAAAAUGACGGUACCUGCCUAAGAAGCCCCGGCUAACUACGUGCCAGCAGCCGCGGUAAUACGCAGGGGGCAAGGGUUAUCCGGAUUUACUGGGUGUAAAGGGAGCGUAGACGGGAGUGCAAGUUAGAAGUGAAAGGCAAGGGCUCAACCCUUGGAUUGCUUUUGAAACUGUGCGGCUGGAGUGUAGGAGAGGCAGGUGGAAUUCCUAGUGUAGCGGUGAAAUGCGUAGAGAUUAGGAAGAACACCAGUGGCGAAGGCAGCUUACUGGACGAUGACUGACGUUGAGGCUCGAAAGCGUGGGGAGCAAACAGGAUUAGAUACCCCUGUAGUC